rnacentral:pre_miRNA from 3 species
CGUGUCAGGAGUGCAUUUGCACUGAAACUAUCUGAAGCAUGUAAAUGCACUAUCUGGUACGACA